rnacentral:pre_miRNA from 1 species
AGGAGGAACAACCACAGUGGAGGCGGCCAGCUCUGGAGCCCUGGAUUCAGCCCCUGCAGUAACUACAGAGCUCUGGGUUUGCAGGGGCCUGUAUGCUCCGGGGCGGG